UUCCCAGCAUCUACAUCAAUCCUGUGUAGACGGGAUUCUUCCCACUCAACAGGUGAGGUGAUGAGAAGUCACCUACACCCAGAUGAAGCCUUGGGACGGUGGUCAGCCCAGAACCAUGGUUCACCUUAGAACAAACCUCAUCUUGGCUCUGUCAUCGUCAUGAGAGAAGUCACACCGGGCUGUGCCAUUCGCGCUCUCCACUGCAGAGCAACGGAAGGGGAGCUAACAAGGACGUGGCAGAGGUGGCAGUCAGGUGCGCCGCACUCGGGAUGCCCGGGGUAUGGAUUGGUACUACUCUGGAAAAUCACCUGCGGAGUCCGACCGUGCAGGAGCCGUGGAAGACAGAGGCUGUGGCACAUGCUUACGGACUGAGAGAUGACUGGAGGCUGUCCCAGAGAAGGAGCUGUGGAGAUGGGCAAAAGCAGCCACAUUUGGGAAUCAUUUGGACAGCAGAAUAAAGGCAGUUUGGUAGCAUGUAUGUUAAGAGUAGGAUGCAUUAAUUUCCUCUUGUGGCUAUAACAUAUAUCACAAGCUUAUGGCUUAACACGAGCAAUUUGUCUCCUUAUAGUCCU
rnacentral:lncRNA from 1 species